AGAAUAACGUUCGACAUCAAAUGAUCAUCAAAAGAUCACAUUUUCCUAAAGUCCACGGGAAAAAGUGUUAAUGGUUAUCCCCUAAAAUUGGGUGAGUACUACACUUUGUUGGAUGAUAUGGACAUUUCCAAUUAAGUGUGGUAGUACCGCAACUCAAGUUGAGAUAAUAUCGCAGCAUUUGGGUUAGUAAACAACUAGUUAAUUUAGAUACUUACAAUCGCAAUUAAUGGGAAAUGUCCAUCACUUCCAUCAACCUCGUGCUCUUUUUUCCAAUAGUGUCUUGAUCGUUUUUUCAUCGAAAUUUCAUCGACUUUCUAUAAAGCAAAUUUUCGUUCGUCAACUGUUGUAGAAAUCCGUAAACGGUUGUCCUUUGCGUUAACGAAGUCGGUAUUUUCAUCAACCAAUCAGAGCCCUGUGGCCUGUUUACAAUCCUGUUGAUGGAUUUUGGCAACGUUUUACGAAAAUUUUCGCGUCCCAAACAGCGAUGAAUAAACAAACAAUAAUCAAAACAAACAUUGAAGGUUAGAAAAUUUUGAAUUGCUGAAAUGAGUGAAAUGGACAGGAGCAAGAAAAUCGCGCUUAUCCUCAGUGGAAGGAAAAGACUGAAGCGACAAGUGUUAAAUCUUCUCUUAGAUACGCCGCUCAACACGAGAGACGCGAGUGCAUUUGUGCUUACUAGGUUAAGGAAAACUCAUGUGAGGCCUCCACUGUACGUUGAAUUUUGGCUGUCGCAUUAUUGGGAGGAAGAUUUUUUUCGUCUUUUCCGGUAUCAAUUGAGCUGUGCUUCUUGGCCCAAAAAAUUAUCAAGUGGCCAACUAGGCAGGAAGUCGAUUCAAUCUCUCAAGAAUUCAAGGACCUUUCCGGUAUCCCAGGUAAAGUUUUAAUAAACUUCAAAGUGUAGGAAACAUUAAAAGUGGACUGUCUAUUCACACCCCCUUGUGUUGCACUGUGAAACACUCGAUUUUUCUUCCUUCUUAAUACGAUGUCUAUGACAGUUAAGCACCAUAUCAUUGCGUUUAAUGAUACAAUGUACAUAAGGUCUACCGUCAUAAGUUGCAAUCUUCUUCUACAUUCAUUGUUUGAGGUGAUCCGUUUUUAUUACCUAAAAUGUUUGAUAUACUUUCUUCUUCUCUCCUGAACGAGUUAAAUUAUAAUGACCAAAUGUUACCUGUUCAAAGAUGGUGAUUGCAUUCUCUAGAACUCUGAAUUGAGCCUCUCUGCCUUUAAAUGUACUAAUGCAUGUACUGGGUACAGAAGGGACUUAAAUUAAAGUUUUCACCAUCUUCAGAACUUUAUAGACACCUGUUCAUCAAAUGUUUCAGGUAUUAUAGGAGCCAUUGAUGGGUGUCACAUUACAUGCACCGUAGGACCAGAGCAUGGGAAUGAUUACUGUGAUCGAAAAUUCAACAAGAGUGUAAUUCUGUUGGCUAUAUGUACGGCAAAAUGCUUCAUUACUUUUGCCCAAGCUGGCUGCCCGGGGCGGGCACAUGACUCUCGUGCCUUACAGAGGACUUCACUGUUCAUAAAACGGAAGAUGAAGGAAUACACCACUACUUCUAUACUAAAGAUUAUCAUAUUAUUGGCGAUUCAGCAUUUCCGUUGAAACUUUGGCUGAUGAGAAGGUAUCCAGAGGCUAAUCCUAAUACGCCUGAGGCUCACUUUAACUACCUGCUGAGCGUUGCAAGGUAAGAGUCCUUCAUAGUCCUUUUGAAAGUAGAAACAUCCUCUUCAUAGAAAUAUAGUGGAAGUCUGGGAGGAAUACUGAGAAAUAGGAUUUUAAUGGGUCAUAUUAUCAAAUUAAGUCUUAAUAUUGUUAUGUGUCAGUGUCAUAGUGUAUUUUUUAAUUUCAGUCAUAAAAGUAUAUGAAAGUCAUACCAAGUUGCCAUAGUUCUUUCUCAUCACUCGAUUUUUGGGUCAAAAUUGUUGGUCACUUGGUCUUCCAAAAUAAUUGAAAUAUAUCAUUACCUAAUCAUUCUGUGAUAAUUAUUUUACUUUUUGAAUUGGAUGAAAUAACUGGGGAAAAAAUGUUUGGAAAGCGUUCAAUUUUCUUGCUUUUUAAAGCAUCAAAUGUAAUAGUGCUAUAACAAUAGAUGGUUAUUUAUAAUAGUUCACAAUGUUAACUUCUUGCAAUCAUUACUUCCGAUCUGCAUCACUGUAAUGGUAAAAUGUUUUCCUAGCAAAGCCAUUUUAUAACAGGGGCUGAGAGCUUCUUCAUUUGCCUCCCUGUCUUACUUUUUUGCAGAAAAUGGUCAUAAAAAAUUAUAUUAAAGUGCCAUAUUCUAUUCACUAGCGGUAUAUUUGGCCAAUUCAUAAUGCAGUGCCAUGAUUUAAGUUCGCUUUUCUCCAUUUUCCAGAGUCAAAGUUGAACAUCUAUUUGGACAACUGAAAGGUCGAUGGAGGAGACUGGAAAAAAUCAAUGUCUACUCUGUAGAGAAAGUGAGCAGCUUAGUUAUGGCAGCCUGUGUGCUACAUAACAUAUGUCUUCUAAAUGACGAUGUUUUGCCUGAAGCUCUUUGGGCCCAGGUUGAUGAAAUCGAUGAAAUUCCAUUACCAGAGGAGGUGCCUCCUGGAAUUGUACCUCUUACUGCUAAAGGGAAAAGAGAUAACUUGAAAGAAAUUGUAACUCAAUACUGAAAGGACUGUAGCAUUGAAGUAUUGACAGUGUAAGUAUUUCAGUGUAUUUUGUCUAUGACCCUGUAAUGAACUUUUAAAAAAGGCAGAAUUUCUUUUAUGUUAAUGAAAGUCACAUUAAAAAUGUUUUUAUGUUUGAAUUAUUUCAGUUGUCAAAUUAUUUCACUUAAUAACGCAAAAGGAAUUCCUUUCAGAACCUGACUCUCCUGCAAACAAUACAGUCCUAAUAAAAGUACUCAAAGAGCGUAUAAAAUUCAGGAAGUGAUUUUGAACUGAGA
rnacentral:lncRNA from 1 species